CGCAGGACAGCUCACUGUCUUGUUCCAGCACACGGCGCCCCGACACAACUCCGGCACCAUGAAGGUCAUUCUUUUCUUCGCUCUCGCGGCUGUGGUGAGAGCAUCUCCGGUUAAAGCUUACUCAGCCGUGCAACAGCCAUCCUCCUACUCCGGCAGCAACAUUGUUAACGCCUUCCCGCAAUACUACACUGGCAGCAAGAUCGUCAGCAUGCAGCGCAUUCGCUCCAGUCUACUCUGGAGUCGUGCCUUUCGCUAAAACCUACUCUGUAGCCGAUAUCGCCCCAGUCGCUCAAGUCUCUGCUUUUCUUACACCUUUCGCCUACAGCGCCCCUGUUGCACGGCUCCUGCCCAAGUCGGUUGCUGAGACCCCAGGAUCCAAGCACGUCGUCUUCUAGGCGUAAAUAACAGCAAGAAUAUUUGGCCCGGCUCUGAACUUGAACAGUCUCUUGUUGUCGCGUUUAUAAAAUAAAUAUUAGCGGGUAGGGUACGAAAAAGAAAAACUUCUCGUCAACUCAGAGUAUUUCCCGUGAAGUUGGAAGCAGAACCGAGGCUCUGAAUUUAAACCGGACGCGUCCUGUGUAGUUCUAACACGCUCCAGCCGCCGUUUCGCGCACAUAUUUCGUUAUUAUAAGGUGCCUUUAGCGUAAAAUCAUAUAAUUAUACUUAAAACCCUUGUAGUUGACAUCCAGUAUAGGAGCGAGAACAUUUAGUUUUGUGAGAUUAGCCAACCUGUGUCGUGUUAGAUUAAAAAGCUUGUGGCCGACUGAGACCGCCAUCCGUAAGCGUGAAUCUAAAGCUCGUUAUGGGCCUGGCAGAAUUCAAGUGUUAAAAAAUAGUGCCUGAUUAUUCUGUAGUAACGAUUGAGAUUAUCAUUUAUUUGGUCAAUAAUUAGCUAUCGAUUUACCUGUCUUAUUCAUCAUACUUGCCUGACAUAUUUUCCUUUAUUUGAGUUUUGGAGCCUGCUUGGUCAGGUCAUUAACUAGUUAUGUGCCAAUAAAGUAAAUAAUGUUUUUAUCAGCUUACAAUUCAAGAAUUUUGUUUGUGCAACUACUGUGUCCAAAAUAUCCACAGUGUCCAACUACUGUGGAUACUGCCACGAAUACUACGAAUAGCCACAACUGUGGGAUUCGAUUAAAUAAGUUAUUUUCCUAAAUGGGUCUGGAUGUGCUGGUGCUAGGAUCUUACUGGGGUAGAAUUCAUUACUCUUUUGAUUUGCUUACUGUAUUUUUUAUAAUGAAUGACAAACUUUGUGCUCACGCAAGCAUUGUCUGAUAGAAUAUAUUUCAGCUUGUUCAAAGCAUUUUUCAUUGCAUUUCGAAGCCGUGACACAAGUGAGUAAUCUAUGUCUAACCAGGGUGUAAAUUUAUGUCUAAAUGUAGCGGAGCGACCGCAGGCCAGUAUUAGCUCAAGCCGAUCUGAGGCCAGUAUAGCACCUGAGAUUACUAUUUGGUAGCCAUUUUAAGAAAAUUAAUUUACCUUCAGGGCAAUGGGAUUUUGAAUUAGCCUAAGCUGCUAGUUAUCACGAUGCUUACCACUUAUUGUGCCUUAGCUUUGCCUUAUUCUGCUGAUGUUAGCAUUAAAAAUGUUUCAGCUCACGUUGAUCAACGUCCUAGAUUUAUUCUGAACGUCUUGAUGUCUAGGCUCGGCAGCGCUCCCGCUCAUUCAUGUAAAUUUUAUCCUCAGCCAAUAAUCGUGAUCGAAAAACUUCACUAGUAUAUUGAAUAUGAUGAUUAUAUCUUUAUUCAAAACAUGGAUGUAGCAUGA
rnacentral:lncRNA from 1 species